rnacentral:rRNA from 1 species
UACGUAGGGCGCAAGCGUUGUCCGGAAUUAUUGGGCGUAAAGAGCUCGUAGGUGGCUUGUCACGUCUGCUGUGAAAACUCGGGGCUCAACCCCGAGCCUGCAGUGGAUACGGGCUAGCUAGAGUGCGGUAGGGGAGACUGGAAUUCCUGGUGUAGCGGUGAAAUGCGCAGAUAUCAGGAGGAACACCGGUGGCGAAGGCGGGUCUCUGGACCGAUACUGACACUGAGGAGCGAAAGCGUGGGGAGCGAACAGG